UACGGGGGGGGCAAGCGUUGUUCGGAAUUACUGGGCGUAAAGGGCUCGUAGGCGGCCAACUAAGUCCGACGUGAAAUCCCAAGGCUUAACCUUGGAACUGCGUCGGAUACUGGAUGGCUUGAAUUCGGGAGAGGGAUGCAGAAUUCCAGGUGUAGCGGUGAAAUGCGUAGAUAUCUGGAGGAAUACCGGUGGCGAAGGCGGCAUCCUGGACCGAGAUUGACGCUGAGGAGCGAAAGCUAGGGGAGCAAACGGG
rnacentral:rRNA from 1 species